rnacentral:tRNA from 1 species
GCGGGUAUAGGUAAAUGGUAUACCGAUUCCUUCCCAAGGAAUAGUUACGGAUUCGAUUUCCGUUACCCGCU